ACUAGCACCAAAAAAAAGUCUCUUGAAUUUUUUUUGCCCAGGUUGGCUUGGCUUCAGACCACAAAUCAUGAUCCUCAGAUGUCAGCCUCUAAAACAUCUAAUUUUACCUGGCUAUUUGACUAGGUUUUUGCCUUGAAUUAAUUCACUAAUCUAGCACAUGAAUUUAAUACA